GCUGGAGUGCACUGGCACAAUUGCAGCUCACCGCAACCUUCGCCUCCCGAUUCAAGUGAUUCUCCUGCCUCCUGAGUAGCUGGGAUUACAGGCAUGCGCCACCACACCCGGCUAAUUUUGUAUUUCUGGUUUAGACAAGGUUUCUCCUUGUUGGUCAGGCUGGUCUUGAACUCCCGACCUCAGGUGAUCCGCCCUCCUCGGCUUCCCAAAGUGCUGGGAUUACAGGUGUGAGCCACUGCUCCGGUGAUCUGUUUUUAAGUGGAGUAUCCUGGGGGCCUAUAGUAUCCAACUCCAAAGAGAUUUUCUACAAUGAAUUUGUCUUUUAUAAUAAAAAGUUAAUUUAAAAGGACAAGCAAUUCAGGCUGGGCGCAGUGGCACACACCUGUAAUCCCAGAACUUUGGGAGGCUGAGGUGGGUGGAUCACCUGUGGUGAAGAGUUCAAGACCAGCCUGGCCAACAUGGUGAAACCCCGUCUCUACUAAAAAUACAAAAAAUUGCCGGACAUGGUGGUGGACACCUGUAAUCCCAACUACUCGGGAGGCUGAGGCAGGAGAAUCACUUGAACCCAGGAGGCGGAGAUUGCAGUGAGCUGAGAUCACACCACUGCACUCCAGCCUGGGCGACACGGCGAGACUCUAUGUCAAAAGAAAAGAAAAGGACAAGCAAUUCUUCAAUCUUGGGAUAAAUGAAGACAUUGAUUGGAGUGUCAUAAAACUAAGAUGUGAGAAUUUUUGAAUUAGAAUUUUAAUUUUAAUACCUACUUUCAAGAGGAGGUAAGAACCAAAAGUUUUAAAGGGAAAAGACUGAAGAUGAGCAUGUUUCUUUGAAUUAUAAAACUUGGGUUUAGUACCACUAGACUCUAAAUUUCCAACCCUAGUAAUAUGGCAUAUGCUGUUGGAACUCAACGUGGUCGUUUGCUUAACUUUUUGUUGAUAUAAUCUGAAAUGAUAUUAAAUCUCACUGUGGAGCAUCAUAAAAACAACCUAUUUGUCAGAGAAGAGUAGGACAAUUGUCCUAUUAAAUUGGAAAACUGAAAAAGAAAAUUUAAAAACAGACUUCCAUUAUUGCAUUCAUAUGACAAAUACUUUUUGAGUGUCUGUGUCACUGGGCACUGUACUACCUCGUAACUACCUCGGCAGUCGGGGUAGGGAAUCCUCCUUGGGGAAGUACCCUUUGUAAGGCCAGGCACAGAGAAAAAGGAGGGUAAAGAGUGUGCUAGGUAAUAGGUAGAGGACAUGUACAAAUAGAUGGCUACUGAUUUUCAGUUGAUAACUAUGUCUAAUUAGGUGAAUACCAUCUUAUUCUAGCAAGAGUAUCAGAGUGCGUUCAUUCCUGAGGACCCUUUCCCUGGUGUUGAAACAAAUUAUCUCUAGCCUUCAGUAUGAAAUAAAUUCCCUUUUGCUACAUUUCUGCCAAAUCUGAAGAAUCACAAUGGAUGAGUCUCAUGCCUAUUUCAAAAUGGUAUAGAGUCUCUGGGGGUUCAGUAUAUUUAACUUGUUUCCUCAUAAGUGUGACUUCAAGAUAUUGUUUCAUGCUGGAAUUGUAAAUUGUGAUUUAUCCAUUCUCUGUAGAAAUAUUAAAUAAAUCUGAAAAAAACUCCAAAACCCA